GACGAACGCUGGCGGCGUGCUUAACACAUGCAAGUCGAACGGACAGGCCCUGCUUUUGUGGGGUGCACGAGUGGCGAACGGGUGAGUAACACAUGAGUAAACUGCCCCUGACUUUGGGAUAAAUUCAGGAAACUGGGGCUAAUACCGGAUAGGAGCUCCUGCUGCAUGGGGGGGGUUGGAAAGAGUCGGCGGUGGGGGAUGGACUCGCUGCUUAUCAGCUUGUUGGUGGGGUAGUGGCUGACCAAGGCUUUGACGGGUAGCCGGCCUGAGAGGGUGACCGGCCACCAUGGGACUGAGAUACGGCCCAGACUCCUACGUGACGCAGCAGGGGGAAAUAUUGCACAAUGGGCGGAAGCCUGAUGCGGCAACCCCGCGUGCGGGAUGACGGCCUACGGGUUGUAAACCGCUUUGGCCUGUGCCGAAGCGGGAGUGACGGUAAUGGGUAAAGAAGCACCGGCUAACUACGUG
rnacentral:rRNA from 1 species